rnacentral:rRNA from 1 species
GGAGGAAAGCAGGGGAUCGUAAGACCUUGCGCUUUUGGAGUGGCCGAUGCCUGAUUAGCUAGUUGGUGGGGUAAGAGCCUACCAAGGCGACGAUCAGUAGUUGGUCUGAGAGGACGACCAGCCACACUGGGACUGAGACACGGCCCAGACUCCUACGGGAGGCAGCAGUGGGGAAUUUUGGACAAUGGGCGAAAGCCUGAUCCAGCAAUGCCGCGUGAGUGAAGAAGGCCUUCGGAUUGUAAAGCUCUUUCAGUCGAGAAGAAAAGGUUGUGACUAAUAAUCACAACUCAUGACGGUAUCGACAGAAGAAGCACCGGCUAACUACGUGCCAGCAGCCGCGGUAAUACGUAGGGUGCGAGCGUUAAUCGGAAUUACUAGGCGUAAAGGGUGCGCAGGCGGCUUUGUAAGUCAGAUGUGAAAUCCCCGGGCUUAACCUGGGAAUUGCGUUUGAAACUACAAGGCUAGA